rnacentral:lncRNA from 1 species
UUUCUUUCGUUUGUUCUUGCUUUUGCUCUCUAUCUUUAUUCCUUUCUCUCUCUCUCUCGUUUCUGUUAUACAGGAAUAGACUCAGUUCACUUAGUUUUACAAAUGCAAAAUAUAAUAGAAAGUCUGUGCUAUUGAAGAGUAUUGUAUUCAAAGGGUUACUGAGCUGACAAUGUCCCCUGACUAACUAUAAAAUGUAAUCAGCAAUAGCACAGGCUCCUGGAACCAGGCUGUCAGGACCAGCAUCGAGGCAGCUGUGUACAGGGAUCAGCAUCUGACAGGUCCAAGUUCGAAUCUCACCUGUGCCACUUACUACCAUAGGACAAAGUUCACAGGACAAAGUUCUUAACAUCUCAGAGCCUGUUUCCUCAUACAUAAAAUGGAAAUAAAAAUACUCGACUUAAUAGCACUGCUGCAGUGUUUAAGUAAGAUAGGGUAAUGUGUCCAGCAUGAUAUCCAGAUAUGAAUGUUACUGAAUCAGCUAAGUCUACAUUUGGCUCUGAGUGUCAGAAAACCUAAUAAGCUCUUCUAAAUUAGGGACUGUAUGUGUCUCAUGCAACAAGAAAUCUGAUGAUGGGCUUGCCAGAGCUCAAGCUCAUUUUAUCUUCCUGCUCCAGUAUCCCCAGUUCGGCUUUUGUUGCUGUGAUUGCAAGAAGGGGUGGGUGGGGGAGGGGUGUGACUUCCUGAUAGAAUGAUGGGAUAAGAACAAAGAAAAACAUUCUAAGAGGAAUCUCCUCUUGAAAGUCUCUCCCCAGGGACCAUGACUGAGAGCUCAUUGGCUGUAGCUGGGUCACAUGGCCACAGAAAAAAGAGUCUGGGAAGAUGAGAAUAUUUUUUAGCUGGGCACUUUGCUGUCCUUACAACAGCAAGAUUUUGUUAGGAACGAAGAGGGUAGUGAUAAGCUCCUCACCUCCUGCCUGCCUAAGCUCCAGUUGCAAGGAAGGGAGAUAGAGUGAGAAGAAUAAAAAUAAAGAAGUUGCUCAUCUCUUCAUUUUGCAUGUAAGUGAUGAUUGCCUUUCUUCUCUUAGCAAAUUGGCUAGUAUGGUCUAUGUUCAACAAGUAUUCCAUUUGCUACCUUCUCCCAGACACUAUUCGAAAUAUACACAUACAGUGAUCUUACAAUUAGCCCAUUCUCAUACAGGAAGAAAAUGCAAUCUUCAUGAAAAUCCCCUAACUCCACUUCAGACACUGAAGUUCACCUUUUUGAAGUGUACUGAGCCUGACAGCUAGGCCAGAAUCUUAGGAAAGUACCUCCAUUAGAAGGUUAACCUAGAGAAAGAAAAAGAAGUGCCAGGCUUUGCAGAAGAACAGGGGAACUGUGGCAUUGUGAAGGAUGUGGCUGAGUUCAGAGGGUCAUGAAGGAAUGGGAAAUGCUUUGGAAGAACUUGAGGAUGAGAUCUCCUGAUAAGGUGUGAUUGAAUUUUUUAAAGGAGGACCUUGAAGUUUGCACAGCAUGGUGACGGUGACACCAAAUGAAAAGAGGACUGAGAACAGACUGUAAGCGCCCAGCAUAAUGAGCAUUAACACUUACUGUGAUGGGGAGACUGUUUCCAUGAAUGCCAACUGAGAUCUAGAAGACUGUGUUAGGUUUUUAACAGCCAUAUCCUACAAUGGGAUUAUAUUUGAGUUUGUAACCACCUAAAAUCCUCAGACCUUCUUUUUUUUUCCCAUGAAAAUGAGUGAGUCUCUUGUCUUUUAUCUGUAUGAUAACAUUUUAAAUUUAAAUAUAGGGUUUUAUGUUUAUUCCUGUUAUAUUUAAUCUCUUUGGUUUUGAUCCAGCAAUUCAGCCUGCCAAAAAUUCAGAUUGCUAAAUAAGGGAUACCAAUCAGAUGUUUUCUAUCUUCCCUGGAGAAACUAAGGAACUUCAAGUUUAAAAUGCCUCAUGAAGAAUUGGGAUAAAAUAUAAAGAAUUUCCUGAAGAAAGGGAGGAAGAUGAUUGUGUACUGAAUGAUUGCAAUAGAACAUCUGAAAAUGUAAAAUGAAAAGGAUAACUGAACUUUUCUAUGAAGAGCUUGAUUAUGGCCAUACAUUGAAUUAAUGAGCAUUCAGUGAGUCCACAGUUCUUUGUUGAGGGUCUCCUGCAUGCCAUACACUGUGCUACGUCCUGGGGCUCCAUAAAUUCUUUGUUAACAAAAUAAAAAUACCCCCAUACAGAGAAGCACUUUCAGAUACAUUACCUCAUCUCUAACAGAACACACAGUCAACAGAACCAUGCGGAGGCUGAUCAAUAUUCUAAACAAUAGUUUCAUAAAUACUGUCCCUAGACUCGUCUACUCACUGGGAGCUGCAGGGGUUGGUAUUCUAGCUAGCAAAUGAAACAAUCUGCAUACAUGCUUAAAUCAAGUUUGUUUAAAAUUAGAAAAUGGCAUAAUGUAUUCAAAAGUUUUUAUGCAGUAUUUGCAUGGAAUUUAAAAUAUGCUACAUGCUUUGAAUUAGGAGAGCAGAGCGAUGUGUAGCUCAUCUAUUGGUCUGAUCGAAUGUUUAAAAAUCAAAUUUUAGAGAGCUCUGUACUUAAAUAACUGUAAAAGAAAAUAAAAUCAGAAUGCAUAA